GCCGACGUAGCUCAGUGGUAGAGCAAUGCUUUUGUAAAGCAAAGGUCGUCAGUUCAAUCCUGACCGUCGGCU
rnacentral:tRNA from 1 species